GGGCGAUUAGCUCAGCUGGAUAGAGCGUUGGCCUCCGGAGCCAAAGGCCGCGCGUUCGAAUCGCGCAUCGCCUA
rnacentral:tRNA from 1 species